rnacentral:rRNA from 1 species
AAAUUGAAGAGUUUGAUCAUGGCUCAGAUUGAACGCUGGCGGCAGGCCUAACACAUGCAAGUCGAACGGUAACAGGAAGCAGCUUGCUGCUUCGCUGACGAGUGGCGGACGGGUGAGUAAUGUCUGGGAAACUGCCUGAUGGAGGGGGAUAACUACUGGAAACGGUAGCUAAUACCGCAUAACGUCGCAAGACCAAAGAGGGGGGCCUUCGG